AUGCAUACCAGAUGUAUUGGUGGGGUCACAAAAAUGAUUUAUGAAAAAAAGCGCUCUUAGUUCAGUUCGGUAGA
rnacentral:tRNA from 1 species